GAAAAAUUAGUUAAUCUAUAACAUUAGUUUGUCAUACUAAAAUUAUUUUAAAAAUAUUUUUCU
rnacentral:tRNA from 2 species